rnacentral:rRNA from 1 species
UACGUAGGGGGCAAGCGUUGUCCGGAAUUAUUGGGCGUAAAGCGCGCGCAGGCGGUCCUUUAAGUCUUGUGUUUAAUCCCAAAGCUCAACUUUGGUACGCAUGGGAAACUGGGGGACUGGAGUGCAGGAGAGGAAAGUGGAAUUCCACGUGUAGCGGUGAAAUGCGUAGAGAUGUGGAGGAACACCAGUGGCGAAGGCGACUUUCUGGCCUGUAACUGACGCUGAGGCGCGAAAGCGUGGGGAGCAAACAGG